GUGGUUUCCUCUUCCUGAUUUCAUGUCAAACUCUCCACUAUGGUGAAAAGUGAGCAUUUAGAAACCUUACGUUGUCAUAUAUGAUGACUCGUAUCUCUCAGGAAAACGUAAUAUGCCAUAGGUCAGUUCUGGGGCUGAAGGGCAGGUACAGGAUAUGCUCUUGGGGAGCUAACGAAGGGGAAUGAGGAGCAGGUGGGCAGAUGAGUCAAUCAGUUUGAAGACCUGAAUACUCGAAGAACAGCAGUGUUGGUCGACUUCACCGUAGGCCACAGAAACUGACUUUGGGCACGUUGAACAUCACUUAUCUGGGGAGUAAGGACAUGUGACGGACGGAGAUUGCAACUGGAUAUAGUUGAGCUUAUUUCUACACAUAAUGUGCUGAACUGGAACAAAGCAGCUGGAAGUGGAUUGAACUCUGUGUUUAUGGAUUACUGUGAGAGGACCUGGAUGGAUUGUGAUCAAGCGGUGAUCUCAAGGUCUGUAAAGGGAAGUCAAUCAACGUAUCCUCUGAUGAAAGUUUGUAUUAUAUCUUAGGAGAAAGUUACUCCUGAACAUUUGUGUGCGUUUUCUCACGAAGGUACAGCAACAUGUGUCAAUUUUAUGUGUCAGUCCUUUCAAAAUAACUGGAAACAACUUAGUUAGGUGGAGGCAACACAACUUAAAAGAAGUAAGCACGUUUAAUUAAGUAAAAAGCAAAAGGCCGUGGUUUGGGUUGAAAUAACUACAAAAGUGACGAUACUUAAGUACUGAAAGGUGACAAAUAUAUUAACGUUGACGCCACGUUUUAUACAAAUCUGCAAACACUUUUGCUGAGUCCUGUGUCUCUAUGCUGGAAUAAUUUCAUAGUAUAACUUUCUUGCAGUUAGUAUACAAUAAAUCAAUAAGUAUUAGAAUAAUACAUUCAAACUGUGACUCCGAAUGCCACUGUUAAUUAAACCUAACAAGAACACUUUGGGUUUGUUUGUUAUGUGCCAUUUCCCCACUAUCCAAGUUAUGUUUUUUCCGAGUUGUGAGCAGCUUUUCCAUUUUCUUUGUCCAUUGUGGGAGAACUUGAUGGGACACCGUUACUGACAUGAAUCAAUUGUUGUAGGAAAAGCACAUCUAAUCUAAUUACCGAUGGCUCAGUUCUACUUAAGUGUCCCAGUAAGUCGUGAUAUUGACAGUGAGCAUCUUUAAUCUUUAAUUUGAUCAUUUACACCAUUGUUUUCAUUUCCUGUGCUUCUUCCUGACAAAAUGAUUAUGCUUAAAGUCAUCAAACAUACAGUUGAUUUUUUAGUUUACUGUUGAUGGCUUGGAGACAACUCUGUGACAGAAAUGUAUCAAAAUGUUAUCAAAUCUUUGGGGGAGACAUUUAGUUAUUGGCAGUGAACUCUCCGAGGUUGCAAUUGGAUAUUCAUCGGCAUCAUGUAUUGAAUCAUUUCCUGUUAUUACAGAAAAGUACAGUAACAAUAAAGCGCAUUGAUGGAUUGUAUAGGCCUACUAACUGCAUAAAAACAAUACAUAUUAACCCACUACUAACAUAUGGAGUUAGAAAACAGCUUGUAUUUUAAUGUUAAAGUUAAAUCUUUUCUGACUCGCAUAAUACAUUUCUUUGUCUGCCUGUCUUGAAGAACUAAAAGAACCAAAGACAGCUGUAGGAUAUGUUCAAAUAAAUGUCUUUUAAAUGUU